rnacentral:rRNA from 1 species
GACGAACGCUGGCGGCGCGCUUAACACAUGCAAGUCGAGCGAUGAAAUUUCGACAGAUCCCUUCGGGGUGAAGAUGAAAUGGAUUAGCGGCGGACGGGUGAGUAACACGUGAGUAACCUGCCUUUGACAUUGGGAUAGCCUCGGGAAACUGGGAUUAAUACCAAAUGACACUAACUGAUCACAUGAUCAAUCAGUCAAAGAAAUUCGGUCAAAGAUGGACUCGCGGCUGAUUAGCUAGUUGGUGAGGUAACGGCCCACCAAGGCGACGAUCAGUAGCCGGCCUGAGAGGGUGAUCGGCCACAUUGGAACUGAGACACGGUCCAAACUCCUACGGGAGGCAGCAGUGGGGAAUAUUGCACAAUGGGGGAAACCCUGAUGCAGCGACGCCGCGUGAGCGAAGAAGGCCUUCGGGUCGUAAAGCUCUUUUAUGAGGGAAGAUAAUGACGGUACCUCAAGAAAAAGCCCCGGCUAACUACGUG